GGGGGAAUCAAUGUGUAGGCCAAAUAUUUGAAAUUUCAGUGCAAUCUUCUUAGUCAUCACUUUCAUUUCUGUCUUCUAGGGAAAUCUGACACAGCUAGAAAGCAAUGGAAAACACUAAGAGUUGCAUCAGAUGUUGAAGAGGAACUGAUAUUAUGGGAUAAAAAAUGAUUCUUUAAGGGAGAUAACUGGUCAUUUAAAGAUGUUUCCCUGUAGAGCAGUUUCUAGAUGGACUCUGUGGAACAGUCUACAAUAGAUUUAAUAUGGUUAGGAUUUUGCCUAAUUCUGAUUGGUGAGUGGUUUUCUUUUAUUCAUUCUUAAUUCUGCAUCUAAUAUUAGCUUACAGUGUUACUGUCACUGUGUGUGACCCAGGGAGAGAAAGGAA
rnacentral:lncRNA from 1 species